rnacentral:misc_RNA from 1 species
GAAAUGCGAUAAGUAAUGUGAAUUGCAGAAUUCAGUGAAUCAUCGAAUCUUUGAACGCAUAUUGCACCCUCUGGUAUUCCGGGGGGUACACCUGUUCGAGCGCCAUUUCGACCCUCAAGUAUAACUUGGUGUUGGGUGAAGUCCUUAUGGGGACCCACCCCUAACUUAUAGGCGGUCAUCGCCCGCUUUUCCCCCAGCGUAGCAGGCUUACACGCACUCGCUUGGGGACAGGCGAUUUGACUUGCUCAAAAAACCCUUUUCAAAAGGUUUGGCCUCGAAUCAGGUGGGGAUACCCGCUGAACUUAA